AUGACAACGGAGACUUUCUUUUCAAGUUUUUUUUUUCAGUUGGUUGGGACAACUGAGGAAACGCUCAACAAAAAGGUUAGUAUUGUUUCUGUAAUUAUUUUAUUUAAAAAUGAGAUAUUUUCAAAUGCGGUCACUUAUUAACAGCAACCUAACACGAACCAGUGUUGCAAAUUGAGUGAGUUGUGAGGACAAUAUUCUUAUUACUUUUUUUGUCAAGGCCUGAGGUAAUGUUAUAAUUGUUACUGCCGUCAUCAUUAUGACAACUUCAACGGGGUGAAUAAAGUUUACAUUGACUGAUAUUUAGUGACAGAAACAAAAUAAGCUUUUUUUAAUGCUCCUCUGCCUCUUUAAUGUAAAUUAGCUAAGCAGGAGGACUCUGUGGAAACUUUACGUUAACAGCAAACCCUCUUGACGUACGAAAAGAAAACGUGAGGCAACACUAAAGAUGGAGGUUUUAUAAUAGUAUUUUGAAGGGAAUAUUUCGUUUUCAUUUAAAGUUUUUUGCUGUUAGAACCGCGGAGCGUCGGAGGUUUGGAGUUGCUUGGAGUUCUUUACUGGUGGUUACCGUCAUCUGAAGAAACUGGUCACUGCAACUCCAGCAGAUGCAGAGAGAAGCCUCUCUCUGCCCAGUACCCCAAGACUGAUUGCACUUGGUUCAUUCUGAGAAUAAACCCUGAUGGCACCAAAUCAAAGAUCAGCCGGGCAUCUGGAAAAAGGAGUGCAGAGAAAAAUCGCCAGCCUGAAUCCCCUUUGUGGCAUCUUUCAUCAGAGAGCUUGUUGAAUUCGAUUGGCCAAAUUAUUGAAAGAAAACACGACUAAAACAUGUUUUUACUGUUUGAUUUGUUCUACUUUUCAGAAUGUUUACAUUUUUAGCCAUGUUACAAAUACACAGGAUGAAUUCAAACACAUUUUUAGAAUGUACUUUUUAAAGUAAAUGUUAAAUAAUGAAAUAGUUAAACAAUGAAACAGCACAUUUUAAUGACAAAUGUUUAUGAGAACUUAUGAAUUUUUUGGGGAGUAAAAAACUUAGUUUACAGCUAGUGACUAGUUACACCUGUUGUUAAUUUCAUUAAUUGGUUUGUCUUU